AUUUGGGCAAACUAUGUAAUUAUUAAGCAUUAAGUUGACAAAAAGUUGAAGUUAAGCUAGUUUACCGUCUGAAAAGCUAAAGGUCUAGAACCAGUAAUCCCAACGACGUGUAUUAUUUACAAGAAAGUAGUAGAGAAGAUGAGUCAUUUCAACGUAGGAAUGGAUAUGUCGGAAAAAACGCUCAUGAAUCCUUUGAUUUUGGACAAAAUAUUCUCCCAUCUGGAUUUUACCACGUUGAAGACGUCCGUCCGUCUCGUCUGCACUGUUUGGGCCCACACAAGCACCCCCAUUCUUGGACGGAAAGCCCUCGUCACCUUCUCCGACUGUAAGAACAUGACCAUUUUCAACUAAAAGCUUGCCACGAAUAUUUCCAUAUCCUUGGAUUCAAACUGUACUUGUCUGCGCAAUUGUAAAUUCAGAUUCCCGAAACCCGAAUUAAUACCGUCCCGUAUUAUUAUCACACCCGAUAUUUUUAACCAUUUAACUGAAUUACACCUCUCAGCAGCAAGUAAAUUCGAACCACCCGGCCAGGAAGAUUGGUGUGAAAGAAUAUCGAGGAACCGUUACUCCAUUUUGGUUGACAGCUGGGAGGACGAGGUCGCCUUGAGAGGGCCAAGAUUUCGACCCCUCCCAAAGCUCAGGGUGCUUUCCUUUACCAUAGGCGGUCCAAGGGGUCAACACUAUCCAUCUCUCGGCCCGAAAGCAAUAUUACAAGAGCUGCUUAAUUCUGCACCCAACAUAGAAGAGCUCACGAUAUCUAUGUUUGAACGAAGUCUAGAUUGGGAAUCAUCUAGCACAACGUUGAAGAUUUUGAAGUACAGCGUGUGUCUCUAUCCCUUUAGACCAAACGAUUUUUAUUAUCGUCCUCGCACAGCUUUUUCCGCCUCCAUAGUAUUGGGCAGAUUUGCGAAGUCUUUGGAAAAGCUUGAAUUUCUUGAGUAUGCAAAUCCUCAGGGCUUUGCUGAAGUAUGUAGAUGUGCAUUACCCGUCGAAUUUUCAAUAUAUGUCAUCUUAAAUAUAGGUUGUACGUACAUACAUAUAAUUCCUAACCACACUCUAAAUAAAGUUGAGUAAAUCUGGUUGAGUAAAGUGAAAUUGGUCAAGUUUUGUACAAAGUUAGACAAAAUUUAAACUUGAAAAGAGUAAAAUUUACACAACAAAGUUGAGUAAAGCAAGUUUUAGUCAACAUUGAACAAAAUUUGACUUUUUUGCUGAGUAAAUAUAAAAUUAAACAGUGUUGGGUGAUAAAUGCCCAAAGGUUGAUAAAUUUUUACUCAACAGUUGUGUAAAAUCAACUCUCCCCACUUGGCAUCUUUUUCAGCCACAGGUAUGCCGCCAGUUGGUUACAACCAUUCACACGAGAAACAAGAGUAAAUACAUUUCUCUUUUUUUGAAAUUUACAAAAAAUGACUCAGCGAUUGGAAAAAGCUCUUGAAUCUACCGGCUUAACCCAAUACGCAGAUAAGUUCAAAGAGAACGAUGUUGACGACACCGUUUUUUAAAGUUUCUGGACGGUGCAGCUGGAUCAGUGGAGGAACGUUUGUUUGCUGAAAUUAUCCCAUCAGUUGGUCACAGAUUUAAGUUAAUUACAUCAGCUAGAGAGGUUAGUAGAUUAGAGUUAGGUCCGAAUUUUAAGUGUAGUAUUUGCGGAAGUAAUUUCAAUUGUUUUAAAGAGUAUUGGUGCCACAUUAGAGUAUUUCAUGAGGUCUCAAAAGGGAAGGUAAGGUUAAAGUGUCCUUUAUGUUCAAUGAUUUUUACUGACUCUGAAAAUCUUCAAAAACACGUCCAAAGAAAAGUUUGCCCUGUAAUUCAAAAAGUUUCAAGACAAGUUGAUUAUAUUUUUCCUGAUGAAAUGAAUGACACUGAGACAAGUCUUCACGAAUUAUUUUCCGCUCAAGUCAUUCGAGAAAUUAAUGCCGAUUACAAGUUAGCUUUUUUAAAAUCGUUACAAAUGUCAGGUGGAAUUUCCUUGUCAAAAUCAAAUGAAAUUUUAUCUUCUGCCAAUACGUUAGUUAAUAGUAUAAUUGAAAUGACAAAAAACUUUACAAAAAAUAUAACAAAUCCAGAUGAACUUUUGAUUCAGUUGAAUAAUUUGAGAGACCCAUUUCCAAAAAAUUCUUCAUCCCAAUAUCAGCUGGAAAAAUUAUUGAAAGAAAAAUCCUUUUUUGUAGAAGCAAAAGAGAUAAAAUUGGGGUCCCACUGGAAAUUUGAUAAAGGGAAAGGGAUAAUGCGAGAAAAAAUUGACAACAUUUAUCACUUUCAAUUAUUUAAGACUUUGCCAGCAAUUCUUGCAAAAUAUUAUAAAGUUGCAGAUAAUAAACAAAUCAAUCGAGAUUCAGAACUGUUUGAAAGUUUUAAGUCAGGUGAACUUUUCAAAAGUUUCAGAAAUAAUCCUCUCUGUUUGCAGAUUUACUACGAUGAUGUUGAAAUCUGCAACCCUUUAGGAUCAAAGUCUAAAAUUCACAAACUUGCAAUGUUUUAUUUUGUGAUCGCCAAUUUUCCCAGCCAUCUAAAUUCUAGACUUGAAAAUAUUUUUCCACUUUUAGUUGUAAAAUCCAAAUUUGUCAAAGAAUAUGGAAUGAAUUUAGUCUUGCACCCAUUAGUUUGCGAAUUAAAUUUAUUACAUGAAAACUCUCCAAACUUGAGUUUCCUGGAAAGUAGUCCAUUUAGUCAUAUUCAAGUUCUCCAGUUUUGUGGUGAUAAUCUUGGGUUGCAUACCAUUUUUGGCUUUGCUGAAAGUUUUAAUGCAAACUUUAGAUGUCGGUUUUGUAAGCUGGAAAAGGAACAAACAUUUAUAGCCAUAGAGGAGGACGUAACUAAAAGGCGAAUUUUAGUAGAUUAUGAAAGGGAUUUACAAGUGGCAAACGUUAGCUUGACGGGAAUUAAGGAAAGAUCAAUUGUAAAUGAUAUUAAGGGGUUUCAUGUUACGUCUAAUUUUGCACCCGACAUUAUGCACGAUAUUUUGGAAGGAGUUUGUCUCAUUGAAUUAAAAUUGGUCCUAAAGCAUGUUACUCAAAACCACAUUUUAUCACUUACUGAGAUUAACCACAGGCUGUCGUCUUCAUUAAAAAAGAAUGGUCAUGCAAUAUCAAGGUUGCCAGAAAUUGAUGUUGCGUUUGUUGAUGGCGACAAAAAAACAUGCUUCUCUGCAUCAGAGACAAGUCAUUUUUUUCUUGUUUUUCCCGCAAUAUUUGGUGAUAAGUUUAACAUGAAUGAUAAGCACUGGGAUUUAGUUCUAAAACUUCGUAGAAUUUUACGUAUUUUAAUGGCACCUCAAAUAAGUAGCUCGGGGGUUCGCUUGUUAAAUUAUUUAAUAGGGGAGCAUCAUCAGUCGUUCAUUAAUUUGACACAUAAAAAUUUAACUCCAAAAUUUCAUCAUUUACUGCAUUAUGCUCACGCCAUAGAGCAAUUGGGACCCCUAAAACAAUAUUGGUGUAUGCGGUUUGAGGCUAAACAUCGUCUUGCAAAAACAAUAGGUAAAAAUUGUUUCAAUUUCAGGAAUAUUGCGAAAACAGUGUCAAAGAGAAUAUCGCUUAAUUUGGCAUUUUCAUUUGGUGGGGAAUUAGGAGGAGACGUAAACUAUGGAUCGGGGUCAAGAAUUGCAUUUAAGGAUAUGAAAGUAUCUUUUGAUUUUUCCAAACUUUCCCAAAAUGCAUCUCAAAAAGUACUUUGUGUUGACUCAGUAAACAUUUAUGGCACCAAAGUCAAACCUCAAAAUUAUUUCAUUUUGAAAGGGGCAUCUCUGAGUUCACAAUUUUGUCAGAUUUGCAUGUGUGUAGUUCAUAACGAGAAGGUUCAUUUAGUUGUGAGACCAGUAAAGUGUGAAGAGCAAUUUAGUUUUUCAUAUACGUUUAAAAUAAUAGAUUUUGCAAAUCCAAUCUUAGUAGACCCUGACGCAAUAGAUUUGGAAUAUCCGUUAGUUAUUGUGAAUAGCAUAGGUGAUCCUGAAGGUCAUGGUGUCAUCUGUUGUCCUAUUGAGUUAAUCUAAGGUGGUUUUUCUUUGCGUAUGUAUAUAGGGAGUGACGAUAAUACGCUUUUUUCUGUUAACCUCAUUUGUAGAUUUCUAUGUACAUAUUUAGGUAGGUAAACAAACUUCUGAAACAGACCAGCGGGCACCUGGAGAAAUGCUUAACGUAGUUCUGGUCGAAGGCACUUCCAAUACUUUGGACUCCGACAAUCAAAAUCAGCCGCCUAACGACGAUAGAGUCGACGUUGAAAUUUCAUUCGUAGAUUUUACUCCCUUGUUUGAUGUAAGGCAAAUUAUCCUAACCUCUGAUCAACAAAAGGGAACAACAAAGGGAAAGCAAAUCCUUGAAGAAUGUUUGGAAUCCAAUAUCGUCACGUUUGAAGCUAAAAGCCUUAUUAAACGUCGAGUGGUCAACCUUCUUAUUCAGCAAUACACAUAUUUGUAAGCUUGGUUGUAGAAAAUUAACUUCCAAAACAUAUCAAACAAAAUCUGGCCGAAUGUGUCGCUGCACAACUAUUUCAAAAUUUACCAACCGUCCAACGGAGAGAUAUUAUGAAUCUUUUCUACCAGGAAUCAAGGGUCAUUAACGAUAAAUCUAGUCUUCAUAAAAGAAUUCCAGCGUCGGGAUUAAUUGAACAUAGAUUAAAGUACUUACGAAGGAAACACAAGGCCGGGGCAACAAGUAAAUCUAAAGAUUUUAUUUGUUUGAUGUCAGAAAGCCCAUCGGAAGAUGAAUAUGAAAAAAAAUCGUGGCUCUCUUACUCUUCAACUCCUUUGUAUCAAGUUGCUGAAUACAUGGCAGAAACAUUUCGCUUGAGAUCAGAAGAGCUAAGAAAUACUGAUAAUUUAUCCGUAACACUUAGCCAAUGGCCACGUCUGAUUGACACUCCGGGGAUGAUUGAUCAAGAUUUUUCAGUGCGAUAUCCGGGUAAACAAGAAAUUGUGCUUCAUAAAUGGGACUCAAUUUCCAAACAAAUUUUGAAGUUUGCAAAAAAGACAAAACUUGAUGUUUGCCGAGAAAUAGGAAUUACCCAAAAUAUCAAUGAAUGGUCUGCAGAUCAAAUUAACGUCGGAUCCUUAAUUUUGCUACCGUAUCUCUUAUCAAAAUCUGCAUAUACUAAAGGUAGCAAAAAAAGACGAAAAAUAACAGGUGGCCAAUCUGCAGAUUUUUUUAUUAAAUUCAUAAAGACAAAUGAAGAUUUAGAAGAAUUUCGGUUAUCAGAAUCAGUGAGAAAACAGCCAUUCGUUUUGUGUCUCGGAAAUUUGAAGAACCUCGAGAUUCAACAAGCAUACAUCAUGGUGGAAAGACGCCUCAUGUUAGCAGAAUCUCUUGUCAAAGCAGUGGAUACAUGCUUCAAAAUAUUCUACGUUCUGCAGCUGCAAUUUCCAGAAGAGUGCUCCGGGGUUUGGUGCUUUUUCGACCACACUGUAUUUCAAACCAACGAAAUUAAGUCGCCAACAUCGUCAGUUUUGUCUCUGGGGAGUCAAAUCGAUUUGGAAGAGCGACCAAACGAGAAUUUAUUGGUUUAAUAUUAAAAAUAUUUAUAUAUUUAUACAUUUUUAUGAAAAUUAAUACUACUGUAGUUAUACAGAACUAAUAGUCAGUUUAAUUAUCAGUAUUUGUGAAACGCUUAAUUAUUUUAGUGCCCAUAAUUUGAUGAUC